CCCAAACUCCUACGGGAGGCAGCAGUGGGGAAUAUUGGACAAUGGGCGCAAGCCUGAUCCAGCCAUGCCGCGUGAGUGAUGAAGGCCUUAGGGUUGUAAAGCUCUUUCACCGAUGAAGAUAAUGACGGUAGUCGGAGAAGAAGCCCCGGCUAACUUCGUGCCAGCAGCCGCGGUAA
rnacentral:rRNA from 1 species